GAAUUAAUUAAAACUACGGUCUUUCUAUCCACUUGACCUCUUUCUGUGCUGUAUAGACUUUAAUGAGAAACCCAUGAAAGCUGUAGACUUUCUUAGAAUACACAUAUGCAAAUAAAAUUGUAUAUGCUGUUUCAAGAUGCUGUAUCAGUGGAUUUCUUGGAAUCCAUCAAAAGACACCCUAGGUAGAGGAGUUCCUGGACUGUCACUAACUUUCCGAAGGCUUUAGGCACCUUCAUAACUUGGCUCUGGUUUUCACCUGGGUUAAGGACAUCUGCUCAUAUUUUAGCUUUCUUUCUGGGUAGAGAUUGGGUUUUUCUCUAUUUCUUUCUGCUGACACCAUUCCUGUACCACCUGCCAGCUUUUUUGCAUUCUUACACCACGGGUACUGGCAUUUGGUUUGUUACACAGGCAGAGUUGGAAAACAAGAUUUGUAGUAACCUAUGUUCUAUUUCAGAACACCUUACUUUUCUUUUGUCUGGAGUAUUUUUUUACUCAUGCACUGGUCCUUUUCUUUUGCUCUUUGAAGCUAUGGGAUAUCUCAUUUCUUGUUAAGAUGUGUGCCCAACUUUCCCUUGGAACACAAAAAGCUUCAGCGUUCCCAUAAAUCUUAACUUUCUACCUCUGACAAAGACUUUCUUAUUUCAAGGACUCAAUAUUCUUUUCUUUAGCACUUAAAACAGACCAUAAUGUUGUUUUUAAGCAGUGGUAGAAAUGAAUUUCUCUAUAAUAAGUAUUUUAAUUCCAUGUUUUCACAUUCAACCUGAUCAUUUUCUCAGAACAAAGAAAGCUUAGUGCAGUGAAAAGAACUCAAGUUUUGGAAGUCAGAUUGUUGUAUUCUAACUUGGGAGUCUUUUGAGUAGUUAAUUAAUCUCUUUAACCUUAGUUUUCUCAACUAUAAUAGAAGAAGAAUAAUAUUUUCAUGUGAUUGUUGUGAAGACUGCAGUGUUUUCUAAAACUGUCUGAACUGAAACAAUUGAGUCAUUUGUUAAAAAGACAGAUUGUUAAGCUCGUGCCUGCUCUGGAGAGUUCAUUUUCAGUAGGUCUAGACAAGGCCUAUUAAAAAAUCAAUUCCCCAGGUGAUUUUUAUAUCACAGAAGUUCGGAAACACACCUCUCGUGUGUGUGUGUGUGUGUGUGUGUGUGUGUAGACAUUACUCCCUGAUUGAUGACAGCUUGCUUAUAUUAGUAAAUUCCAACUACUUUCCUAUUUAUUGCUGUGACAAAAAAUUAACACUGUAUUAGCUUAUAUUUUAAUUAAAUGAAGUAAAAUGAUGAUAAUAUACAUAUUAUCCACUGUAUAAUGGAUAAUGAUACAUAUUGUUUUUCAUUAAUAUUUUCAUAUAUGUGAGUUUUAUUUUCUGUUAAAUUUAAGCCAUUUAUCGGUGAAUAUAUUCCUCAACUUUGACUUAUGUAAUUCAAACAGAUAACAAAUAUGUGUCAUAUUGGUAAUUAUUUUCCCCUUACAAUAUUUUGAAUGCACAAUGUUGAUGUUCUAACAUUGAACUUUGAAGGUGUCCUUGGAGCAGUUUAAGCUGGAUUGGAAUUCUCAUAGAAGUGAUUACAGAUCUAUAAACAAGAGGAUCAGAUGAGUGAUGGCAUAUAGAUUUCACAAGGUGUAGAAACUUAGAGGCUUUUAAAUUUCCAAAAUUUUCAGCUUACAUUCCAUCAAAGUCAGAUACAAUUAAGAAGAUUACAAUGAGUUAAUUCUUUCUUCAAAUUUUCUGAUUGUGUAAUACUCAGCCUUAUGUCAUCACCACUCCCACUUUACUCACCUCCACCCCCCCCAGGAGGUGAGGAUGUCAGAGCUGAGGAUAUUUAUUUCUUUCUCUAUACCCUGUAUUAGGAUAUAAAAUAUAAAAAUAUCUUGAAGAGGGAGUUCCCAUUGUGGCGCACUGGUUAACAAAUCCGACCAGGAACCAUGACGUUGAGGGUUCGAUCCCCCGCCUUGCUCAGUGGGUUGGGGAUCCGGCAUUACCAUGAGCUGUGGUAUAGGCCGCAGAUUUUUGGACUUUGGUCAUUGUCCUAGAUUUAAGUCCACUUUCAGUCAUUUUCUGGGCUGGGUAUACAUGCCCUUAUAAAUUCAAAAUUACAAAUAACACAAAUAUAUAUCUGUCAAAGUUCAUUUUGGACCCUUAUGCCUAUGAAUAUUAAAGGAAAUAGGAUAUUGAUUAGAAUCUUGAUGGUGAAUGAAAAGGGUCAAGGAGAAACCGUUUUGAGUUAUAGGCUACUUGCUCUAUAAAAUGUGUUCACAAAUGAGGAGUAAAUGGAAAUACGCUUUUUAGUGGUUUACAUGUUGAUGUGCUCAAAGCUACAUUUUCCCUCAUUUGCAUCAUGUGAAGGCAAACCCAGGAUAGGAUGCAUUUUGAUUUAAAAAUGUAAUCUCUUAGUCUAAUAAAGAUGGUAACCUCAUCAGCAUCUUGUAGGCAUUGGGCAUAUUCCUCAUUUAUCUUGCUAAAGGUAAAAACUUGUUUUUGAGCCUGUCGGCAAGAGAUGGACAGAUUGAAGUCAGUGUACAGUUAUUUCUUCAAGAAAGUCACCAAAUCCAUCCAAUUUUGCUUUUUCCUUCUGCUCUUUUUAUGUCAUAUUCUCUCACGUUUCCUCUUCUGUUAUACAUAACCAACACUUCUUUUCUGGUUUAAGCAGCCUGUGCACAGUAGUGGGAUGAAUUUUGAUAUCAGGCAUUCAGACUUCCCUGAUUCUUGCCUUCCUUCUGAUGAGGAACCCAGGAAGGUCUUAUGUGGGCAUGUAAAUGUCUGCUCCUUCUGGUUACCAGCUCUCACACAACCCAUGGUCUCUCCCAGGCACUAUGGGUGGUUUGCCACUUCUCCACAUCCCUCCCCUUGCAGCUCUCAUUGGACUUGUGUGGUGGUCUGUGGUCAAGUUGCUGUUUGUGGAGCUCUAAAGCAGUGCUACCUAUGCCAAAAUGGGCCUCAGAACUGACUUAAAUAGCACUUUCAGUUUUUAUCCUCAACCUACCCUCUCUGGGCUGGCUGUUUCUUGCUUGUAGCUCUAAGCCUGUUUGUCCAAUUCUGUUCCAGGAAAGAACCACUCUUGGCCAAAGUAGACUCCAACCCCUUUCCCAACAUCUACAUUUAUAUAACUACUUCUUUCAAGCUUUUACAUUUUGGCUCAACAUGACUCUCCUUCCAGAAGCAAAGGGACAUAAAGCUUUAAACUUGUCUCAAUAUCUGCAGGUAUGGAGAAUGGGUUGAAUAUUUUCAUAUUGUAAGUAAUGUACAAAUAUUCACGCAGGUGCUUGGGAGUAAAACUAUAAUUCCUAGAUGUCAAGGGUUUUUAGACGCUUACAUAGUUCUCACUAAUAACAAUAAUGUAUGAAGAAGGCACUGUCAUUAAAAGAUACAUAUGCAAUAAAUAACUUCCCUCUAAACAUUUCAAACAAUUUAGAAGAAAGUAAAAAGCUUAGAUUCCCUUCUCCAGCGGUUACCACUAAUAGCGAUUUACCGGGUAUCAACCCCAAAUCAUUUCAAUGCAUUUACAAAAUAGUUUGCAGGUUAUAAUUGUAAAAGGGCUUUUUUAUACAUUAUUUCACUUGAUUCUCGUGAAAGAUAGGUGUAUCUAGAUGUG
rnacentral:lncRNA from 1 species